GCAACCCAUGCAGUCGAGCGGAAGGCCCCUUCGGUUGUACUCGAGCGGCGAACGGUUGAGUAACACGUGAGCAACCUGCCCCUGACUCUGGGAUAAGCCCGGUAAACUGGGUCUAAUACCGGAUAUGACGCAUUCUCGCAUGGGAUGUGAGUGGAAAGUUUUUCGGUUGGGGAUGGGCUCGCGGCCUAUCAGCUUGUUGGUGGGGUGAUGGCCUACCAAGGCGACGACGGGUAACCGGCCUGAGAGGGCGACCGGUCACACUGGGACUGAGACACGGCCCAGACUCCUACGGGAGGCAGCAGUGGGGAAUAUUGCGCAAUGGGCGGAAGCCUGACGCAUCGACGCCGCGUGGGGGAUGACGGCCUUCGGGUUGUAAACCUCUUUCAGCAUGUACGAAGCUAACGUGACGGUACCUGCAGAAGAAGCGCCGGUUAACUACGUGCCAGCAGCCGCGGUAAUACGUAAGGCGCAAGCGUUGUCCGGAAUUAUUGGGCGUAAAGAGCUCGUAGGCGUUUUGGCGCGUCUGUCGUGAAAGCCCACGCCUUAACUGUGGAUCUGCGGUGGAUACGUUCAGACUAGAGACUGGAAGUGGA
rnacentral:rRNA from 1 species